rnacentral:lncRNA from 1 species
UUGGAGCCGGGCGCUCGGGGGCUUUGGGGCCGAGCUGCUGGGAAAGGCGGCUUUCGGUUGGCGAGCGGCAGCGCCGUGCGUCGGGGCCGGCGAGAAAGACUGCGAGCUAUGAAAGGCCGGCUGUGGCGGAGAGGGACGGCGAGCGGGAGACGGAGCGGCGGCGGCGGCGAGAGGGCCGAGCUCCCCUCUCUGAAGGCACGGCUCCCGGGGCAGCAGAGGAGAAUGCCAGUUUGGAUCAAAGCCCCUGGCUCAGCCAUCAGUAAGGGAGGAGGCGGAGCGGCAUCUCGGUCCUCGUGGGCUGAUAUCUUCGAAGUGAAUGAAGGAGAGACCAAACACGCACCAAAAAUGUACCAGGGAAAUGCAGUACUGCUCUGUGAGUGAGCAAGGACACUUCUCUGAACCAGUACUUUACAUAUUUAUUCUGAUUUUUUAUUGAUAACUUUGGUGGAUGUUGCAUGCUGGGAACACUGAGCUUUGAUAUCUAAUUGUUGUAGUGCUAUUGCUCCUAAGUGUUAAGUGUAAACAGGGAAAAAAUAUUCUUAUUAUAUUCACGCUAUCGUUUUCUUACACGUGCUUUUUCUUACAUGCAUUCAUUUUUGUUGUCAAGUGGAAUCUGUACUCAUGUAAUCUAUUCCAUGCCAGGCUGUGCAGCAGUUCAUCUAACCUGAAUGUUUCCAGCAAAGGCAUUUUUGAGUAACACUGAGAAGUUGGCUGCCUUUGAGAUGGCUGACAUUCACACAUUGCACAACCAACCAGGAGUUCAGCAGUUCCCCACACUGUAAAGAGUCCUCUUUGAGCACUGUAUUUGUGUUGGCUUUGGUUUGAUUUCUUUCCCAACUUGAAGUCUAAAUGAAUGGUUCUUGAGCAUUUCAGGAUUAUAGAAUAUAGAUAUGAAGAGAUAAUAAAAUCUUCAAAGCCAUGUGCUAUUUCCCAUUGCUCACGUAGUUCCUGGAGUUGAAUGCCUGGUCACAGAAACCAAUAAAAUCUGCUGAGAAAUCUGUCAGAAGAUGAGCUUCAAUCUUACGUACAAAGUUAUUAUUGUAGUGAAAAGGUGCAUUAAGCAUCACUGUUGCUGUUACAGCCUUCUCCACAUGAAGCUGAAGGAGAACGUGUCCCUGUGAAAUGAGGGCAGUGAUUGUGAGAAGUGUCUGGGGAAGCUCUUCUCUGUCCGGAUCUGUUCCCUACUAUAGUGGUGCCAGUGAUCAGGUUACCAUAAAAGAAGGGUACGGGUCCACCUUCCUCACUCUGAGGUCCCGAGGAUGAGUCAGAAGCAGUGGUAGGAGCAUAAGGAAGCAGAUACCAUGUGGUUCUGUAACUGUUGUGUGGCAUGAAUGAGGAGCUGCAUUCCCAAUUUUAUGUGCUG